UGACUGCUCUGGUGGCCUACUUGUUCGAGUGUCUGCCUCAGAUGCAGGAGAUCAUGGGUUCGAUCCCCGGUCUUGUCAA